AUUGAACGCUGGCGGCAUGCCUUACACAUGCAAGUCGAACGGCAGCACGUGUGUCUGCACCUGGUGGCGUGUGGCGCACGGGUGUGAAAUACAUCGGAACAUCCCCUGUAUCUGGGGAUAGCCCGGCGAAAGCCGGAUUAAUACCGCAAACGAUCCUCUGAUGAAAGCGUGGGACCUUCGGGCCUCGCGCUAUAGGGUUGGCUGAUGGCUGAUUAGCUAGUUGGUGGGGUAAAGGCCUACCAAGGCGACGCUCAGUAGCUGGUCUGAGAGGACGACCAGCCACACUGGGACUGAGACACGGCCCAGACUCCUACGGGAGGCAGCAGUGGGGAAUGUUGGACAAUGGGCGAAAGCCUGAUCCAGCAAUGCCGCGUGUGUGAAGAAGGCCUUCGGGUUGUAAAGCACUUUUGUCCGGAAAGAAAUCCUGGACUCUGAUACGGUCAGAGGAUGACGGUACCGGAAGAAUAAGCACCGGCUAACUACGUG
rnacentral:rRNA from 1 species